CGCUGGCGGCGUGCUUAACACAUGCAAGUCGAACGAUGAACUGGUGCUUGCACUGGGGAUUAGUGGCGAACGGGUGAGUAACACGUGAGUAACCUGCCCUUAACUCUGGGAUAAGCCUUGGAAACGAGGUCUAAUACUGGAUAUUGACAUUUCCUCGCAUGGGGUUUUGUUGAAAGAUUUAUUGGUUUUGGAUGGACUCGCGGCCUAUCAGCUUGUUGGUGAGGUAAUGGCUCACCAAGGCGACGACGGGUAGCCGGCCUGAGAGGGUGACCGGCCACACUGGGACUGAGACACGGCCCAGACUCCUACGGGAGGCAGCAGUGGGGAAUAUUGCACAAUGGGCGAAAGCCUGAUGCAGCGACGCCGCGUGAGGGAUGACGGCCUUCGGGUUGUAAACCUCUUUCAGUAGGGAACAAGGCCAGCAUUUUUGUUGGUUGAGGGUACUUGCAGAAGAAGCGCCGGCUAACUACGUGCCAGCAGCCGCGGUAAUACGUAGGGCGCAAGCGUUAUCCGGAAUUAUUGGGCGUAAAGAGCUCGUAGGCGGUUUGUCGCGUCUGCCGUGAAAGUCCGGGGCUCAACCCCGGAUCUGCGGUGGGUACGGGCAGACUAGAGUGAUGUAGGGGAGACUGGAAUUCCUGGUGUAGCGGUGAAAUGCGCAGAUAUCAGGAGGAACACCGAUGGCGAAGGCAGGUCUCUGGGCAUUAACUGACGCUGAGGAGCGAAAGCAUGGGGAGCGAACAGGAUUAGAUACCCUGGUAGUCCAUGCCGUAAACGUUGGGCACUAGGUGUGGGGGACAUUCCACGUUUUCCGCGCCGUAGCUAACGCAUUAAGUGCCCCGCCUGGGGAGUACGGCCGCAAGGCUAAAACUCAAAGGAAUUGACGGGGGCCCGCACAAGCGGCGGAGCAUGCGGAUUAAUUCGAUGCAACGCGAAGAACCUUACCAAGGCUUGACAUGAACUGGAAAUACCUGGAAACAGGUGCCCCGCUUGCGGUCGGUUUACAGGUGGUGCAUGGUUGUCGUCAGCUCGUGUCGUGAGAUGUUGGGUUAAGUCCCGCAACGAGCGCAACCCUCGUUCUAUGUUGCCAGCACGUAAUGGUGGGGACUCAUAGGAGACUGCCGGGGUCAACUCGGAGGAAGGUGAGGACGACGUCAAAUCAUCAUGCCCCUUAUGUCUUGGGCUUCACGCAUGCUACAAUGGCCGGUACAAUGGGUUGCGAUACUGUGAGGUGGAGCUAAUCCCAAAAAGCCGGUCUCAGUUCGGAUUGGGGUCUGCAACUCGACCCCAUGAAGUCGGAGUCGCUAGUAAUCGCAGAUCAGCAACGCUGCGGUGAAUACGUUCCCG
rnacentral:rRNA from 1 species